rnacentral:misc_RNA from 1 species
UUCCUCUUUAAUUUCUCUAUAUUUUUUUCUGAUAAGUUGAGACUCAAACAAAGGAUAAUAAGAAAAUCCCGCCCCAAUUCCCUAUUUCCGAACAUGUUUAUGGGAACGGUAGAACCUUAUCCCGACCCGCCUGUUUCCAUUCGCUUCCGGAGCGUUGCUCCUCCAACCUUCAAAAACCCGAUUUUCCUUAAAACCACCAAAACUUUGAGCCAAAUCUAACGCUCCAUAUGCUAUACACGUCAUAUGCUACAACCAGCACAUCGCCCCAUCCCAGGAGACCUUAUCCUGCGCACGCUCAUUAUUGACACUCACACACACUUCUCUUUCAUCUGUCUCCGUUAUGGCCGCCGAGUUGCAUCCGCCGGAAGGUCCCAUCACCACUAUCUCCACCAAUGUUGUCACAGCAACUACAGCGGUUAUAGCACCUGCGGAACCCGAGAACGCCAGCCCACCACCGCAGGUCCCGAAACGGCAACGCCGACCCAGCGUACGUCUUGGUGAGAUCGGAGACCAAUCGACUGCUUUCUCCUAUGACUUGCACGUUCGCCGCCCCAAGCACCCCUGGCGUCUCCCUAAAGACUCAUCUAAAUCCGUCAAGGCCCGGUCUUUAACCAACCUCGUUAACGGCAAUGAUAGCUAUGAAAUCCAAGAACCAGAGGGAAACAAUCAAAACGGUGACGUAAAUCUUGAGUUUGGGCACCGUAAAAAAGCGAAAAGAGUGACGACGAAGAGAGUGAGAUCUAAUUGGAUAUCGAAGGUCGAGGAAGGAGGGGCUGAGGAAGAUAGUAGAGAAGAUGGAGACGAAGGGUUUAGGGAUUUUGAUCAGGACUCGGAUAGUCCGUUAAAGGAACAGAGCCCGGUCGAUUCUCUGGAUAACGUUGCGCUUGAUAUGUGGCACAGGCACCGGCGAACUGGCACGGGUCGGCCUAGGGUUUCAGAGAGUAGGGAAAACGAUGCAAUGGAAAUGGAAAAUCACCUGGAAUCGGAUUCCAGGGACCGAAAUUGCAGUACGAGCGAAGGAGUGAGGACGUGGCUAAUUGAAUUGGGGUUGAGCCGAUAUGCACCGGUUUUUGAGGUUCACGAGGUGGAUGAUGAGGUAUUGCCAUUGCUAACCUUGGAGGAUCUUAAGGAUAUGGGAAUAAAUGCUGUGGGUUCCAGGCGGAAACUGUACUCUGCGAUUCAGAAGCUUCGCAAGGGGUUUUCGUGAGUUUUUUUUUUGACAUAUUUUUGUUAUAAAAUAUGUAACUUAUUUAAUCAUAAAAGGGGGGAAAAUAUGGGUAUGGAUGAAUUGUGAUCUUUCUAACUACUAAUGGGAGUAUAGUUUUGUAACUUUUGUUGUGAGGUGUUAAUGUUUGGUACUCUAUCCUGCCUUUUCAUAUACAUGAUUGAAAAUUGCAAUUGCUUGAUUAAUUAAGAUUGAUGUUAAUGGCAAAUUAUUAAUUGACAAAGAUAGAAAGCUGAUUUUUUUUCGAUGGUUACGUUACACAUGUGGAUGUCGUCGGUGCACAGUUUCAUCAUCAUGUUCUUUCCUCGAGUUGAUUUUUUCCAUUUGCUAUACCUUUGAUCUGCAACCAAAUAUAUUUCUCAAGGAAUCUGUUUAAAUUCAAAGAUUUACCAUUAUGUUUCCUUAUUUAAGGUAGUGUAGUUGAUCAGUUGCUUGUUAAUAGUUUUCAUUUUACUGAUAUGGGCUCUUGCAUGCAAGGUGGUUAUGCUUCAUUUUUUCCUUGGUUAGAUCUUUUACGGGUAUUGCUGGUAUUCUUCUUAUGCCAACUACUUUGGGAGCAUGUAACAAAAGUUCUAAGUUGGGUCAUAAUGUUAAGCACUAGCAUGAGUGGUAGAUCAGCCCCAUGACUUGUGCUACUGGGCCACUGCUGCUCAUAGAGUGAAUUCAGAGAUUUCAGAGAGACAGCAGCUUUAAUACCUAAGCUCGACUUUUGCUAUCCAUUUUUUUUUCCUUUAAACUAACUUCUCUCCUCUCUUCUCUUUUACCAUUCUUUGUGUCUUUCUAUCUCUUCUUUAUGCCUUUGAUCUCUCCAAAGCUUAGCACACAGAUGCAAAACCCCUUUCCUGUUUGAAAAGUGUGAACAUCAAUAUCUGGAUUCUGUUAUUGAGGAGUUCGUCAGAUGUGCCAUUGUUACAUCUUUAUCCUCAAUUCACAUGGAUGUUCUGCUUGCUCCAGUUUAUGCCUGAAAGGGACCAGUCCUGUUUGGGUUAGGUUCUAUUUCAGUGUCAAUCUAUUGUUUAUUGUUCCAUGCAUACAUUUAUUCACUAUUUUUCUCUGUAAAAGUAAUGCUUUACAUGUAAAUAAAUUUUUAAUUUCAUAGACAUUAUGACUCACUCUUUCAUUCAGAGCCUUAAGCUUUAUUGUCCCUUGUUUUAUUCUGUUAGGACAUAUGAUUAUAUAAAGUUGAUGCAUCAU